AGUGAACGCUGGCGGUAGGCCUAACACAUGCAAGUCGAACGGCAGCACAGUAAGAGCUUGCUCUUACGGGUGGCGAGUGGCGGUCGGGUGAGGAAUACAUCGGAAUCUACUUUUUCGUGGGGGAUAACGUAGGGAAACUUACGCUAAUACCGCAUACGACCUACGGGUGAAAGCAGGGAAUCUUCGGACCUUGCGCGAUUGAAUGAGCCGAUGUCGGAUUAGCUAGUUGGCGGGGUAAAGGCCCACCAAGGCGACGAUCCGUAGCUGGUCUGAGAGGAUGAUCAGCCACACUGGAACUGAGACACGGUCCAGACUCCUACGGGAGGCAGCAGUGGGGAAUAUUGGACAAUGGGCGCAAGCCUGAUCCAGCCAUACCGCGUGGGUGAAGAAGGCCUUCGGGUUGUAAAGCCCUUUUGUUGGGAAAGAAAAGCAGCAGGUUAAUACCCCGCUGUUCUGACGGUACCCAAAGAAUAAGCACCGGCUAACUUCGUG
rnacentral:rRNA from 1 species